CCUACGGGAGGCAGCAGUGAGGAAUAUUGGUCAAUGGGCUUACGCCUGAACCAGCCAAGUCGCGUGAGGGAAGACUGCCCUAUGGGUUGUAAACCUCUUUUGUCAGGGAGCAACGCCGGCGACGUGUAGCCGUACUGAGAGUACCUGAAGAAAAAGCAUCGGCUAACUCCGUGCAAGCUGCCGCGGUAAUACGGAGGAUGGGAGCGUGAUCCGGAUUUAUUGGGUUUAAGGGGUGUGUAGGCGGAAUGCCAAGUCAGUGGGAAAAUAGAGGGGAUAAACCUCGCUCCGACUGUGAAACUGGCAGUCUUGAGUGGGGGUGAGGUAGGCGGAAUGCGUGGUGUAGCGGUGAAAUGCGUAGAGAUCACGAAGAACUCCGAUUGCGAAGGCAGCCUACUGGCCCCCAACUGACGCUGAUGCGCGAAAGCGUGGGUAUCAAACAGGAUUAGAUACCCUGGUAGUC
rnacentral:rRNA from 1 species